CCUACGGGGGGCAGCAGUGGGGGAUAUUGCACAAUGGGGGGAACCCUGAUGCAGCGACGCCGCGUGGGUGAAGAAGCGCCUCGGCGCGUAAAGCCCUGUCAGCAGGGAAGAAAAUGACGGUACCUGACGAAGAAGCCCCGGCUAACUACGUGCCAGCAGCCGCGGUAAUACGUAGGGGGCAAGCGUUAUCCGGAUUUACUGGGUGUAAAGGGGGCGCAGACGGCGAUGCAAGCCAGGAGUGAAAGCCCGGGGCCCAACCCCGGGACUGCUUUUGGAACUGCGUAGCUGGAGUGCAGGAGGGGCAAGCGGAAGUCCUGGUGUAGCGGUGAAAUGCGUAGAUAUCAGGAGGAACACCAGUGGCGAAGGCGGCCUGCUGGACUGCAACUGACGUUGAGGCCCGAAAGCGUGGGGAGCAAACAGGAUUAGAUACCCGUGUAGUC
rnacentral:rRNA from 1 species